rnacentral:rRNA from 1 species
GACGAACGCUGGCGGCGUGCUUAACACAUGCAAGUCGAACGGAAAGGCCCUGCUUUUGUGGGGUGCUCGAGUGGCGAACGGGUGAGUAACACGUGAGUAACCUGCCCUUGACUUUGGGAUAACUUCAGGAAACUGGGGCUAAUACCGGAUAGGAGCUCCUGCUGCAUGGUGGGGGUUGGAACGUUUCGGCUGUUGGUGAUGUACUCGCGGGUUAUGAGCUUGUUGGUGGGGUAGUGGCUUACCAAGGCUUUGACGGGUAGCCGGCCUGAGAGGGUGACCGGCGACAAUGGGACUGAGAGACGGCCCAGACUGCAACGGGAGGCAGCGGGGGGAAAUAUUGCACAAUGGGCGGAAGCCUGAUGCAGAAACGCCGCGUGCGGGAUGACGGGCUUCGGGUUGUAAACCGCUUUCGCCUGUGACGAAGCGUGAGUGACGGUAAUGGGAAAAGAAGCACCGGCUAACUACGUG